GAAGUCUCAUUCUGUCGCCUAGGCUGGAGUGCAGCGGUGUGAUCUCGGCUCACUGCAACCGCCGCUUCCCGGGUUCAAGCGAUUCUCCUGCCUCAGCCUCCUGAGUAGCUGGAACUACAGGUACACACCACCACACCCGGCUAAUUUUUAUAUUUUUAGUAGAGACAGGGUUUCACGAUGUUGGCCAGGCUAGUCUUGAACUCCUGACCUCAAGUGAUCCACCCCCCCGCCCCCGGUUUGGCCCCCCACAGUGCUGGGAUUACAGGCAUGAGCCACCACACCCCGUCGCCUAACUCUAUUUCUAAAAGCUCUGACAGUUGGAGAUUUCUCUAGCCCACUAGAGUUUCUGGCUUUGGGGGACAGGGAGGGAAGGGAGGGGAAGCUGUGUUAUAAGAAGAAAGUUAAAAAAGUAAGCAUAAAUUAUUUGAGCUUUAAAGAGACAUUAACAAGCUACCAUACUGAGGGUAUUAAGAACACUAAAAUUUGUUUGGCUUUGGAUAGGGAAGCUACUGAAAUUGAAGAAGAAAAGAUGGGACUGAAUGAGCACUCCUUGGGUUGGAGAAAAACCAACAUGAUCAUUAUAUAAUCAUCAUAAUAAUGAUAAUGGACAUUUGUAUAGCACUUGGCAGUUUACAAGUUACUUUCUUAUAAUAAUAAUUACCACUAUAUGGUACAUUACAGUAACAAAUACUUUUUAGGGCUUUACCCCGUGCCACUGUAAAAGUUGGUAUUAGUGGAAGAUGUAAAUAGACUUAUCUACAUGAUUAAGGAACUAGGAGGGGUGGAGGUUCAACACCAGCAGUUGGACAGCAAACAUCUUAGCAGACCAGGCACAUCUUCAGCCACACCCUUGGGUUCAACUUGGUGGUCUCCUGGUUGGGGUCAGGAGCAGAAGUGGGGCCAUGGCCUCCACUUCCCUUCCUGGGCAAUGUGCCUUUCUUUCAUCACCAUGGAGUCCUUGCCUUUGUUUUGUUUCUCCUUGUCAUUUAUUUCCAUUAACAUGCAGUGGUUUUGUCCUUUCUCUUCCCGAUUAUCACUUUCCUCACCUAGAUAGAGAAGAACCAGCCCUCACCUAGCUCACUAGUCUGUAUCAGGCUCAAAUGAGGUGAUGUAUGUAAAAAGGUUUUGAGACGUUAAAAAGCACAGUCCAGAAAUACCUGAAAGCAUGUAAACUCUUAUGAUUUGGGGGCUUAGCAGGACCAGGAAUUUGAUCUCAUUGCCUCCAGGUCAUAUCAUGACCCUCUAGGAUCCCUCCUCCCUGUCACACAUCCCUCUAUGGGCACAUUGAUUCCAGGAUUUCCAGAGUACAUCAGGGCUGAGUCGACCUCAUGGCCCUCGUGGAUUGUCUCUGAUAUGGUUUGGCUCUGCGUCCCUACCCAAAUGUUAUCUUGAAUUAUAAUCCCCACAUGUUAGGGAGGGACCUGGUGGGAGGUGACUCAAUCGUGGUGCGGUUUGCCCCAUGCUGUUCUCGUGAUGAUGAGUGAGUUCUCGCGAGAUCUGACGGCUUAAAAGUGUGGCACUUCCUGCCUCACUCUCUCUCCUGCUGCACUGUGAAGAAACUGCUUGCUUCCCUCUCACCCUCUGCAGUUUCCUGAGGCCUCCCCAGCCAUGCGGAACUGCCAGAUGCAGUGCCUCAUGCCUGUAAUCCCAGCACUUUGGGAGGCUAAGGAGGGAGGAUUGCUUGAGCCUGCUUCCAUAUCGUAAACUGCCUUGGAACCAAGUACCACUACCAGGGAGACAAACUAUUGCUUAGAGGAUGCUGACGGGAGCAGCAUGCCAAAAUUGGAAGAAAAUCAAGCCCAAGUUUUCCCUAUGGAUGAUGCAAAUUCAACUGCUGACUGACCACUGGGAACCCAAUCCAACAGCCUGGUCAGUUCCCUCGGCGCAGGCCCAGCACCUCCCAGGCCCACCUUCCUCACUUCCGUCAAGCCUCAUGGCAGCAUCUGCCCACACAGGAAAGAGACAAAACCAUUACCAAUAAAAUUGUGAAGUUUUCCAAAA